rnacentral:rRNA from 1 species
GACAAACGCUGGCGGCGUGCUUAACACAUGCAAGUCGAACGGAAAGGCCCUGCUUUUGUGGGGUGCUCGAGUGGCGAACGGGUGAGUAACACGUGGGUAACCUGCCCUUGACUUUGGGAUAACUUCAGGAAACUGGGGCUAAUACCGGAUAGGAGCUCCUGCUGCAUGGUGGGGGUUGGAAAGUUUCGGCGGUUGGGGAUGGACUCGCGGCUUAUCAGCUUGUUGGUGGGGUAGUGGCUUACCAAGGCUUUGACGGGUAGCCGGCCUGAGAGGGUGACCGGCCACAUUGGGACUGAGAUACGGCCCAGACUCCUACGGGAGGCAGCAGUGGGGAAUAUUGCACAAUGGGCGGAAGCCUGAUGCAGCAACGCCGCGUGCGGGAUGACGGCCUUCGGGUUGUAAACCGCUUUCGCCUGUGACGAAGCGUGAGUGACGGUAAUGGGUAAAGAAGCACCGGCUAACUACGUG